GCCAAUGUGGUGUAGUGGUUUGAGCAUUAGACUAUGACUCUGGAUGCCAGAGUUCAAAUCCCUGCUCAGCCA
rnacentral:tRNA from 1 species